GAAAAACUUACCAGGACAAGACAUAAGAAGGAUUGACAGACUGAUCGCUCUUUCUUGAUUUUAUGGGUGGUGGUGCAUGGCCGUUCUUAGUUCGUGGAGUAAUUUGUCUGGUUAAUUCCGUUAACGAACGAGACCUUAACUUACUAAUUGGGAUGUAUAUUAAAUAUAUUAUCCCUCUUAGAAGGACCAUGUGUACAUAACACAAGGAAGCGUGAGGCAAUAA
rnacentral:rRNA from 1 species